rnacentral:rRNA from 1 species
AUUGAACGCUGGCGGCAUGCUUUACACAUGCAAGUCGAACGGUAACAGGGUGCUUGCACCGCUGACGAGUGGCGAACGGGUGAGUAAUGCGUCGGAGCGUGCCGAGUAGUGGGGGAUAACGCAUCGAAAGGUGUGCUAAUACCGCAUACGUACUGAGGUAGAAAGUGGGGGACCUUCGGGCCUCACGCUAUUCGAGCGGCCGACGUCUGAUUAGCUAGUUGGUGAGGUAAAGGCUCACCAAGGCGACGAUCAGUAGCGGGUCUGAGAGGAUGAUCCGCCACACUGGGACUGAGACACGGCCCAGACUCCUACGGGAGGCAGCAGUGGGGAAUUUUGGACAAUGGGCGCAAGCCUGAUCCAGCCAUGCCGCGUGUCUGAAGAAGGCCUUCGGGUUGUAAAGGACUUUUGUCCGGGAGCAAAUGCCUGGUGUUAAUAGCACUGGGAGCUGAGAGUACCGGAAGAAUAAGCACCGGCUAACUACGUGCCAGCCGCCGCAGUAAGAC